GAAGGUGGCCUGUGAGGGCUGCUGGAGGUAUCAGAAGUGCGAAUGCUGACAUAAGUAACGAUAAUGCGGGUGAAAAACCCGCACGCCGGAAGACCAAGGGUUCCUGUCCAACGUUAAUCGGGGCAGGGUGAGUCGACCCCUAAGGCGAGGCCGAAAGGCGUAGUCGAUGGGAAACGGGUUAAUAUUCCCGUACUGGUUGUUACUGCGAAGGGGGGACGGAGAAAGCUAGGUUGGCCGGGCGACGGUUGUCCCGGUUUAAGCGUGAAGGUGGGUGUUUUUGGAAAAUCCGGAACACCGUUAACACUGAGGCGUGAUGACGAGUCACUACGGUGAUGAAGUAACCGAUGCUACGCUUCCAGGAAAAGCCUCUAAGCACCAGGUAACAAUCAAUCGUACCCCAAACCGACACAGGUGGUCAGGUAGAGAAUACUCAGGCGCUUGAGAGAACUCGGGUGAAGGAACUAGGCAAAAUGGUGCCGUAACUUCGGGAGAAGGCACGCUGGAUUUGGUGAAGUCCCUCGCGGAUGAAGCUGAGACCAGUCGCAGAUACCAGCUGGCUGCAACUGUUUAAUAAAAACACAGCACUGUGCAAACACGAAAGUGGACGUAUACGGUGUGACGCCUGCCCGGUGCCGGAAGGUUAAUUGAUGGGGUCAGCAGCAAUGCGAAGCUCUUGAUCGAAGCCCCGGUAAACGGCGGCCGUAACUAUAACGGUCCUAAGGUAGCGAAAUUCCUUGUCGGGUAAGUUCCGACCUGCACGAAUGGCGUAAUGAUGGCCAGGCUGUCUCCACCCGAGACUCAGUGAAAUUGAACUCGCUGUGAAGAUGCAGUGUACCCGCGGCAAGACGGAAAGACCCCGUGAACCUUUACUAUAGCUUGACACUGAACCUUGAGCCUUGAUGUGUAGGAUAGGUGGGAGGCAUUGAAGCGUGGACGCCAGUCUGCGUGGAGCCGACCUUGAAAUACCACCCUUUGAUGUUUGAUGUUCUAACGUGGGCCCCUGACCGGGGUUGCGGACAGUGUCUGGUGGGUAGUUUGACUGGGGCGGUCUCCUCCCAAAGAGUAACGGAGGAGCACGAAGGUUAGCUAAUCCUGGUCGGACAUCAGGAGGUUAGUGCAAAGGCAUAAGCUAGCUUGACUGCGAGAGUGACGGCUCGAGCAGGUGCGAAAGCAGGUCUUAGUGAUCCGGUGGUUCUGAAUGGAAGGGCCAUCGCUCAACGGAUAAAAGGUACUCCGGGGAUAACAGGCUGAUACCGCCCAAGAGUUCAUAUCGACGGCGGUGUUUGGCACCUCGAUGUCGGCUCAUCACAUCCUGGGGCUGAAGUAGGUCCCAAGGGUAUGGCUGUUCGCCAUUUAAAGUGGUACGCGAGCUGGGUUUAGAACGUCGUGAGACAGUUCGGUCCCUAUCUGCCGUGGGCGUUGGAAGAUUGAGAGGGGUUGCUCCUAGUACGAGAGGACCGGAGUGAACGCACCACUGGUGUACGGGUUGUGAUGCCAAUUGCAUUGCCCGGUAGCUAAGUGCGGAAGAGAUAACCGCUGAAAGCAUCUAAGCGGGAAACUUGCCUCGAGAUGAGUCUUCCCUGGGACUUUAAGUCCCC
rnacentral:rRNA from 1 species